GCUGUUCGACAUCUUUUUUAAGAUUUGUUGAAAUCGUGAAACGCAGCAACUCAUGUAUUUUUUCGUCUGCUACGAGUGACUUGUGUAGUUCUGCGAAAUAUUAAUUUUUUUAAAAAACAGUGAUAGAAAAGGGGGUUAAGACCUCUUAUGAACUCAGAUACUUCAAUAUCAACAAUGAGGAAAAGGAUGAUGAUGAUGACAAGGAAUAAGUUCGUCUCCCCGUUGUUUCGUUUUUGCUGUAAAGUAAUAAACGAUGACCAUUAUAUUUGUACAAUUGUUACUGCAUUAAACUUGACACCAUUCCUUGACGCAUACUUUCAGGGCUGUGUACGAAGGGAAUUAUAAUUUUGCAUUAAGAAGAUUCCAGGUUAUGAAGGAACUUGGUCUAAGCAUUUGCUAGUAAGAUGUCGGAUCCAUUCAUGUGGUUGCAUGUUUCGAUUUGACCAAUAAUUCAUAUCAGACAUGAAGGCUGGGAAGACAGUGAAAGUGAAGUAAAUGCAUUCUGCGUAAAGCAAUCGACCUUCAAUACAACUGUUAUCAAAUUGAGGCAAGUAAAAUAUAAUUAAGUGAAACUAAGCUAAUUUUCUAGAUCUCGAGUAAUAUUUUGUAAAUAUUUAUCUAAACUCAAAAUUGAAAGCCAGACAACAAGUAAUGGAAUGUCAUGUAUAUUUCUCAAUUAACAAAAAUUUCAUCACUUGAAUCAUAACAAAGAGCUUUAUCGACGAUUCAAAUCUAAAUCUUCCAUGAAGUAAGUUAAGUUCAGCCGAAUCUUUUUACUGCCUUGACUUACGCAUUGAAGAAGAUUCAUCAUCUGCCUAGGAGUAUAUUCCUUCAACAAAGGCAUAAACAAAAUUAUUAGCUGCUGACGACGCGAAUUUCUUAAAUUAAUGACAACGAAUUUUCAGGUAAAUAAUAUGCCUUUAUGUAUGUUUCGACAAUAUGUGGGUCAGGAAGAGGUCUUAGACGUGUCAAGCUUUCCACUUUGACUUGAAAAUGCCUGAAGUCUAACUGCAUUAGUGCACGACCUUCGUUCGUGCAUUUUCUUACAGCGGAAAAUCUAAAGAAUUUCAAAUCGGAUACGGUCUUACAUAAAGGAGGCAGAAUCUGAGGGUAACAGACACGAAGGACACUCAAGUCGUAGUCACUGAGAACCUGCGAAAGAAAUAAGAAUUACAUCAUAGAUGGAAUAUGAUUUUGUUAGCUUUUCGUUUCAACAAGAUAUAUGAAGAUAUCUGAGGGAGCAAUUUUUGGAACAAUUGGACAACAGUCUAAACCGUGUUUCCACAGAGAAUUAGGAAUACAAUAUGGACAAUCACUGUUAAACAUUUGUAACUUUUCCAAAUAACGUGUUUUGGCCUCAAUACUAAGUCCACUGGCAUAAUUAGACAGUGACAUAGUUAAACACUAA